AAUUCCACGUUUGACACGAAGGUUCGCAUCUCGACUAAUUGCUGUUCUCCAAGUUGAAAAAUGUUAUAAUGUGUAAAAAGAAUUGUUUUUAUAAUUUAGGUUGUGUUAAUAUUCUGUGACAGUUAAGGUUUCAGUUCAGGUUUAUUGGUGGUUGUAAUAUUAAUGCUAACAAUGUUGAGCCGGCGAGGAAUAACAUCAAUUCCUAACCUAUACCGCGCUGUUUUUAUCGAAAAUGUCAGAUUUAAAUCAUAUCUCGGAAGGGAAGUUAAAUUUAUGGCUAAACUGUUGAAGCCAGAAAAUCCUAAGCGGAAAUCUCGCAAUCGGGACAUGAAUGCUCAAAGUUUAUUAAAUUCAUAUACUUCAAAGCCAGUCGUAGCGGUACACGAUACGCGUAGAAUGGCAGUAUUAAACACUCUCUUCAUGCAUCAUAUAACAGAUCUUAUGGCUACAGGCGAAGUAGCUGCGGAACUUGUUGGAAGAGGUAUUGAAGUUACGGGUGUGAAAAUUAGUCCGAAUUUCUGCCGAAUUAAUGCAUAUUGGAUAGUAAAGAAAAGCGAAGAAGUAGAGGAAGUGUCACAGAUUUUACAGCGGUCAGCAGGACAUUUGCGUCAUGAGUUGUCUCAGUUACGGGUAAUGGGUGUGGUUCCAGUCAUUGAAUUUGUACACGAUAAACAAGUAUCUAUGAUGGCAACGAUUGAAAAUGCCCUGCGAGAAGCAGAUUACGGUGAAGACUUUGAACCUACUAAUAGUAUAAAAGAACCAACGGAGGCAAAAUUAAAGACUAUGAUUCCAAUAGAACUUCUUCAUAAUGCCGAAAUAGUUUGUACAGAGAUAGAUGAUUUAAAAAGUGAACAGGAUGAUACUAUAAACACAGAAAAAGGUAUCUUACAGGAAAGUGAAUUGAACAAAGUCUAUGAUGUUAGUUUACCACCAAUGAGAAAUGAUGUGCUUGGAUUAAAUCAUUCAGAUAUAAUGACUAAGGUCAAACGAUCAUUAAAAAAAACACAAGAAGCUAUCAGAAACCACUCAGUAAAUGAUUUGUAUCCUAUCCAAUCGACAACAGUUGCUUCAUCCAGUGUAGUUGAAUAUUUAUCUGCAUCCAAGGAACAUGUAGCUUUCUCUAAGUUCUUGCGACAAAGGAAACGCGAGAAGGGCAAGCAAAUAAAAAAGUCAGCUAUAGAUUUGAGGGAAAUUAUUAUCAAGGACGAUGUUAGAGAUGACAGUACUGAACUGUAUACAAAUUGGAAUGAUGAUUUUGAGAAUUCAAAGUACUCAGAAGAUGAAACGUUCAACUGAUAAUGUGGAUAAACUCGAGAAGGGUUACUCAAAUCGAAGGAGGCAUGUCUCAUGAGGAUUCAAUGAUGUACCGACCCAGAGGUCCGACGAGCCUAACUGCCCAAAACGGAUUUAGAGGUUGCACUACAAACGCAAUAACUCGCACCCACAUAGGAACGUGCAUUUUGGAAACGACAUCAACUGGCUUCUCAGGAAAACCCC